rnacentral:lncRNA from 1 species
GCUCCCCAUUCAAUAGAAAUUGGUGUUCUGCCCUCUACCCUGGUGUGUGGGAUUCAGUCUGCUUGCCUGAUUCAGACACCCGUGAAGCCGAGCGAACCAAUCAUAAAAACGCAACUGCCUACCCACUAAAACCCCCUCAUUCCAGCCGUGGACACCCGGAGAGCAGAAGCGGUGCCAUCACAAGAGUCUGAAGACAAUAAAUGGAUUUUUGGAUAUUAAGGAGAGCUUACCUCAUGACUGCAAAACACGUCGUUUAGUUUGAUUUUCAACCUACCACAACAGGUUUUCUGCAAAAGAUGCAAUUUUAAGUUUGGUCUUUUUUAUCGGAUCGACACUGAUGAAUGUACAAUAUUAGACAACAGGAUUAAAAAGCAGAAAUAGCCUUUUGUGUUUA